GGGAUUAGUGGCGGACGGGUGAGUAACACGUGGGAACGUGCCUUUUGGUUCGGAACAACUCAGGGAAACUUGAGCUAAUACCGAAUGUGCCCUUCGGGGGAAAGAUUUAUCGCCAUUAGAGCGGCCCGCGUCUGAUUAGCUAGUUGGUGAGGUAAAGGCUCACCAAGGCUACGAUCAGUAGCUGGUCUGAGAGGAUGAUCAGCCACACUGGGACUGAGACACGGCCCAG
rnacentral:rRNA from 1 species